GACGAACGCUGGCGGCGUGCCUAAUACAUGCAAGUUGAGCGAUGAAGAUUGGUGCUUGCACCAAUUUGAAGAGCAGCGAACGGGUGAGUAACGCGUGGGGAAUCUGCCUUUGAGCGGGGGACAACAUUUGGAAACGAAUGCUAAUACCGCAUAACAACUUUAAACAUAAGUUUUAAGUUUGAAAGAUGCAAUUGCAUCACUCAAAGAUGAUCCCGCGUUGUAUUAGCUAGUUGGUGAGGUAAAGGCUCACCAAGGCGAUGAUACAUAGCCGACCUGAGAGGGUGAUCGGACACAUUGGGACUGAGACACGGCCCAAACUCCUACGGGAGGCAGCAGUAGGGAAUCUUCGGCAAUGGACGAAAGUCUGACCGAGCAACGCCGCGUGAGUGAAGAAGGUUUUCGGAUCGUAAAACUCUGUUGGUAGAGAAGAACGUUGGUGAGAGUGGAAAGCUCAUCAAGUGACGGUAACUACCCAGAAAGGGACGGCUAACUACGUG
rnacentral:rRNA from 1 species